UACGUAGGGUGCAAGCGUUGUCCGGAAUUAUUGGGCGUAAAAGAGCUCGUAGGUGGCCUGUCGCGUCGGCUGUGAAAACUCGGGGGCUCAACUCCGAGCUUGCAGUCGAUACGGGCAGGCUAGAGUUCGGCAGGGGAGACUGGAAUUCCUGGUGUAGCGGUGAAAUGCGCAGAUAUCAGGAGGAACACCGGUGGCGAAGGCGGGUCUCUGGGCCGAUACUGACACUGAGGAGCGAAAAGCGUGGGGGAGCGAAACAGG
rnacentral:rRNA from 1 species